rnacentral:rRNA from 1 species
AUUGAACGCUGGCGGCAGGCCUAACACAUGCAAGUCGAGCGGAUGAAGGGAGCUUGCUCCUGGCUUCAGCGGCGGACGGGUGAGUAAUGCCUAGGAAUCUGCCUGGUAGUGGGGGAUAACGUCCGGAAACGGGCGCUAAUACCGCAUACGUCCUGAGGGAGAAAGUGGGGGAUCUUCGGACCUCACGCUAUCAGAUGAGCCUAGGUCGGAUUAGCUAGUUGGUGGGGUAAAGGCCUACCAAGGCGACGAUCCGUAACUGGUCUGCGAGGAUGAUCAGUCACACUGGAACUGAGACACGGUCCGGACUCCAACGGGAGGCAGCAGUGGGAAAUAUUGGACAAUGGGCGAAAGCCUGAUCCAGCCAUGCCGCGUGGGUGAAGAAGGUCUUCGGAUUGUAAAGCACUUUAAGUGGGAAGGAAGGGCAGUAAGUUAAUACCUUGCUGUUUUGACGUUACCAACAGAAUAAGCACCGGCUAACUUCGU